CCCAGACUCAAAAUAUGUCACAUCAUCAUCAUUGGAGAGAAUUUUUAACAUCCUGGCUCUGUGUUCUCUCAGAGACAAUUCUUGUUGUCAAAUAAAAUGAUGCUUCUCAAAUGCUGAUGUGCAUGCCAUCACUAGAUACCUUAUGAAACCCAUACCUUAUGAGCCUCAGUGUUCCAAGAUUCAAAUAGCCAAGACCUCAUCAAAGUGGGUGACUCCCAGGCCCAUGGAGGGUGCGCAGGCUGUGCAGCACACAUCGCUUGGGUACACCAAGUCUUAGAACUGCUUCAGAAUCACCUAGAGAUACUUGUGGAGAAACUUCAUCAAAUGUAGAUUCCUGGACCCACUAAAAACCUACUGAGUUAGAAUCACUGAGAGUGAAGAUUUGUUAUGAAAGCGAAUUCAGCCUCCUUUGGCCCUCUCUGCUCUUUCCAUGCGGUGCCUUUCUCUAUGUUAUGAUGCCUCACGAGAAGUGGUCCCUCAAUAUUGAACUCCCAGCCUCCAGAAUUGAGAAACCUGGAGGGAUUAUGGAAGAGCUGCUCCUUGAGUUCUACUGCAUCUAUGGACAAAAGGAUGGGCUGUGGCACCUGAAAGAAAGCAUCCCUCUCUGACAUAUGCAAGAGUAAAGCUGUCUGAGGGCUUUAGCUGCUGCAUUCCUGAAACCCAUCUUUGGAAUGCUGCCAAGCCUAUGGUUUCCAGUAGGAGUAUCAAGGCAGACCCAUGUCUGGGAGACAAAGGAUGCCUGUGAAAAACAAUUUUGGUUUGGGGACUCCUUAAAGUGUUGUUUGAUUAUAUUUUUUAAGAAUUCCACUGCAGUCUAAUAUUCUUUUACUCAUUUUCUUUUGUUUUGUUGCUCAUUCACUUGUGGUUGGGCCUGUACUAUUGUCUCACAGUGCUCUAGACACUGCUGGUUUUCUCCACAUUUUUUCUCAUAGACACUUUUAAAAUUAAUAUAUUUCUUGCAUUUCUAGCCCCUUUCUGGCAUUUCUUUCUCUGAGGGGCUGGAUUAACCAUUUAUUCUCUAGAUUCCAAAUGUUGUUUUUCUGUUAGCAGUAACUCAUGAAAGUUAGCUAUUAUUUGCUUUUUCCCCUCCUCUUCUCCUUUCCCUCUCACAUUCUCUAAUUUUUUCACUAUUUUAUUGGAUAUGUUCAUAGCAUAAAAGAAUGAUCAGAAAAUAUUUUCUGGAAAAGAUGAGAUAGUAAAUAUUUUACACUUAUGGGCCAACAGUUUCUGUCCCAACUUUUAAUUCUGCCAUGGUAGUGCAUAAGCAACCAUAGCCAAUAUCUAAAUAAAUGGGUCUGGCUGUAUUCUAAUAAAACACUACUUACAUAAAUAAGCAGUAGACCAGAUUUGGCCCUUUGACAACUUUAGGUCUAAAUUAUACUUUCAUUUCUAUUUGACUUUUUUUUUUAUCAUUAAGUCUAACCCUUUUAACUUUCAGCUAUUAUUUGUUGAAGAAAUCAAUUUUUUUCUAAUUUUCAAUGAAUACUUCCAUCUUUUUCUUUUUUUCUUCUUUGUUUAAAUACUAUUUCUAGGGCCAGGGAUAUAGCUCAGCCGUGCAGUGCCUGCCUGGUAAGAACAAGGCCCUGAGUUUGAUUCCCAGUACCAUAAAUAAAUAAAUACUAUUUCUACAUUUUUAGAGUAUAUAUCCUAUUCAUAGUAUUUUCUGGAUUUUUUUCUAUGUAUUUUGAGCUUAUUUCUACAAAUCUGUUAAAUUCUUAUCCCUAGAUCUUAUGCCACAGCUGUUCUAAUCAUUUUAAGUUGCCUAUAGUUUAUUAUACAUUCUUCAGGAAAUAAUAGUACUGUAGCACAAAAUUUUUUUAUAUAAUGUUUUUUUUUUUUUGGUACCAGGGAUUGAACUUGGGUCCUUGAGGUUGCAAAGCAGGCGACAGAACCACUGACCUAAAUCCUGGACCCUAGAAUGAUAUUUUUUUAAAUGACUUUAUAUUUCACUUUUGUAGUUGGAUGGUUUAGUAGAAUGUAAGAUCCUUUGACCAUUUUUUAUUUCCCUGGUUAUCUUUAAAAUGCUGUUCAUUUUUUUUCUAAAAAUGCAAUGUUGCUAUGUUGCUGUCAAAAAUCUGGUAUCUGUCUGAUUUUCUUUUCUUUAUGAUUGACUUAGAUUUUUUCUUUUUGCCAUACUGGGGAUUGAACCCAGGACUGCAUGCAUGCUAGGAAAGCCUUACUGGUGAGCUAGACCCCCAGAUCUUUUAUUUAUUUAUUUUUUAAAAUUCUGAGACAGGGUUUUGUGAAGUUUCUCAAGCUGGUCUUGAACUUGUGAUAGUCCUGCCUCAACAUCUUAGGUAGUUGAGAUUCAAUGUACACCGCUACAUCUGCCUUGAUUUAGUUUUAGGCCAACUUCCCCAACUUUAUUUUUACCCUUAAAUUCUCAUGAUUUAUUUUAAAUUAUUAUCUAGGAGGUGUAUGAUAUACUUCCAAAGAUAGAUUUAAAUACUUAAUGUUUUUUAAACUUUCAGGAUUGUCUUUUUGGAUUACAGUUUUAAAUAUUUGCUCUAUGUUUUGCUUUAGUUUGCUUUUUUUUUUUGGUACCAGGGAUCAAACUCAGGAACUUGCGCUUGCAAGGCAGGCGCCAGAACCACUGAGCUAAAUCCCCAGCCCCUAAUUUGCCUUUUGAAGACUCCAAAAAUGUCAUAUAUUUGAUCCUAUUGGCCAGCCUUUUCCCUCUUAUUUUACUAAAUCUCUUAUUCUCUUUUUAAAUUUCUGUCUAAAUUUUUUGAAUUUUCUUUUCUUUCCAUUUGGCUUCUGUACACAUUGUGACACAUAUUCAGUCUUGAAUUCUGUUUAUUUCAAAUUUUAUUUAAUUUGUUCCUAACUUAUUUUUGAGUCCUGUUGGUUUUAUAUGCUCUUGUUGUCUAGUCAUACAUUUUCUGGUUCUUUCCUUUGGGAUUUGGACUAUUUUCAAAGCUGUAGUUGUUUUCUUUAUCUUCUGAAUUUCCUUUAGGUCACUUUUGCUUAUUUGGUAGACAAAUUUUCCUACUGCAUUCUCUGUUCAUUGACAUAUCAUUAGGUUAAUUUUCAUUAUUUUCUCGUCAAUGAAAAUGCUAAAAGUUGGAGAUAAUAAUGAUUUUUUUCAUUUCCAUAUUUUAAUGUUGUGAGUUUUCUUAGGCUGUAGGAUGAUUUUCCUGUGGUGAACCCCUUAGAUUGAGAGUUUCCUUUCUGUUAGUAGAAAUACUUAAAAUACAGCCUCUUUGUAGCUGUUUUUCUGUGAUUGAAAUUUAGGUCUAGAUCAGAAUACAUUUCAGUCUUCAACUGCCUGCUUCACCAUGAGCUACAGACAAGCUUCAGACUUCCGCUUUAUGCCACUUCCUGAGACUCCUGUCCUCUGAAUGGUCUCAGAAAACCAUCAAAAACGCCUCUCUUUUUACACAGAGUGCUCUUGCUCUGCUCAUUUCAGUACAUAUUCAGUUGUGUUUCUUGAGAGUAAGGCUCUGUGUAAUAAAAUGAGAAUUUUCUAUUUUUCCCAAAGAUUUACAUUGACAUAGCUCUGUUUGAUUGUCUCCUAUUCACAAACAACAUUUGCUCCCAUGGGACAUUUUCCAUACAGAUAUGUAUGUUGUUUUCAAAUCCUUUCCUCCAGCUUCCAUUUUAAUAGGAUCAUUCCAUUUUCAUUGUAAUUAUUUUGGAAAAUAAUUUUGGUUUCCAUGGCUUGUAAAACUAGUGCGUAUUAACCUUGGAGUCCUCAACACUCAUAAUGCAUUGUCAUUAAUCUUUGAAGGUCACUCAGCUCUUGGUAGUUUGGCCACACGUAUGCCUGGGAUCAAGCUCAUUGAGUGCUCUGUGCAUAGUUUCACUGAGAAUGUUGCGAAUGUGUUUAUGUGUGUGUGUGUGUGUGUGUGUGUGUGUGUGUGUGUGUUCUUUACCACCCUAACUUAUUUAGGUGGCUCUUUGGAGUGUUUAAAAAAUUACAGUGCACCCAUUAUCACAUUGCCAAUUAUUGAUUUGCUUGAUAUCAAGGGGUUUAACCUCUGUUUAUGUGGUGAAAUUUAUCAUUAUUUCCAUCACUGGUUUGCUUAGAAAUGUGAAAAUAAAGAUAUAUUGAUAUUUCACUUUUAGCUCAUAAAUUAGCAUUUUUGAGAUGUGAUAUUGAUUAUUUGCUUUCUUUCUCCCACUGUUCAGAGGGCAAUGUGAGGGCAGUGAUCAUGGCUCAUUAAUCUUUGUGUUUUUACCAUCUGGCACCUACAAAAAACUGCCUGUUGUAAAAACAUGAAUAAAAACUUAAAUUAAUGAAUUGUUAUUGUGAUUUAGUACAGAUUUUAUUCUUCCUACAUCCACAUAAAGCUUCAGUCAACCUUUUCACCUCUUCAAAUUUCUAUUCCCCUUCUCUGCUUUCAUUUUCUCACUGUAGAGAGUCACUAAUAAUGCUUGAGCCAUGUUAUUUAUUUUUGCUCCCCACAUACAAUGAAAGAAUUUCAUUUAUUUUCUUUGCCGUUAUAUUAAUAGAUUUAAUUAGUAAAGCAGCUUAUUAGUGAAAAGAUUUUAUAUCACUUGACAAAUCCUAAAUUCUUUUAUCUUAAAAAUGAAGAUGUCCAGUUUUUCUCAUAUAGUAUUUGCCUUACUGCUAAUAUUUGUCAACUGUGAGAGUUACUUUUCUUUAUACUUGGUACUUGUGUUUUUUUUAAGUUCUUCAUGUAGGUGACUACGUCAUAAGCAUGGUAAAAGGAUAAACUACAUCUUAUUUGGUUUUAGCAUGUAAUACCCACUCAUUGCAUAUUAUUUUCUUCUGUCGCAUACAAAUGUACUUACAAGUUCUUUGAGGCUACGUUUCAAUUACUUCCCUAUGUAUGGCAAAUAGCAUGGUGC